CGGUGCUGAAGCAACAAAUGCCCUGCUUCCAGGAAAAGCCUCUAAGCAUCAGGUAACACGAAAUCGUACCCCAAACCGACACAGGUGGUCAGGUAGAGAAUACCAAGGCGCUUGAGAGAACUCGGGUGAAGGAACUAGGCAAAAUGGUGCCGUAACUUCGGGAGAAGGCACGCUGACACGUAGGUGAAGUGAUUUACUCAUGGAGCUGAAGUCAGUCGAAGAUACCAGCUGGCUGCAACUGUUUAUUAAAAACACAGCACUGUGCAAACACGAAAGUGGACGUAUACGGUGUGACGCCUGCCCGGUGCCGGAAGGUUAAUUGAUGGGGUCAGCGUAAGCGAAGCUCCUGAUCGAAGCCCCGGUAAACGGCGGCCGUAACUAUAACGGUCCUAAGGUAGCGAAAUUCCUUGUCGGGUAAGUUCCGACCUGCACGAAUGGCGUAAUGAUGGCCAGGCUGUCUCCACCCGAGACUCAGUGAAAUUGAACUCGCUGUGAAGAUGCAGUGUACCCGCGGCAAGACGGAAAGACCCCGUGAACCUUUACUAUAGCUUGACACUGAACAUUGAGCCUUGAUGUGUAGGAUAGGUGGGAGGCUUUGAAGUGUGGACGCCAGUCUGCAUGGAGCCGACCUUGAAAUACCACCCUUUAAUGUUUGAUGUUCUAACGUGGACCCGUAAUCCGGGUUGCGGACAGUGUCUGGUGGGUAGUUUGACUGGGGCGGUCUCCUCCUAAAGAGUAACGGAGGAGCACGAAGGUUGGCUAAUCCUGGUCGGACAUCAGGAGGUUAGUGCAAUGGCAUAAGCCAGCUUGACUGCGAGCGUGACGGCGCGAGCAGGUGCGAAAGCAGGUCAUAGUGAUCCGGUGGUUCUGAAUGGAAGGGCCAUCGCUCAACGGAUAAAAGGUACUCCGGGGAUAACAGGCUGAUACCGCCCAAGAGUUCAUAUCGACGGCGGUGUUUGGCACCUCGAUGUCGGCUCAUCACAUCCUGGGGCUGAAGUAGGUCCCAAGGGUAUGGCUGUUCGCCAUUUAAAGUGGUACGCGAGCUGGGUUUAGAACGUCGUGAGACAGUUCGGUCCCUAUCUGCCGUGGGCGCUGGAGAACUGAGGGGGGCUGCUCCUAGUACGAGAGGACCGGAGUGGACGCAUCACUGGUGUUCGGGUUGUCAUGCCAAUGGCACUGCCCGGUAGCUAAAUGCGGAAGAGAUAAGUGCUGAAAGCAUCUAAGCACGAAACUUGCCCCGAGAUGAGUUCUCCCUGAGACUUAGAGUCUCCUGAAGGAACGUUGAAGACGACGACGUUGAUAGGCCGGGUGUGUAAGCGCAGCGAUGCGUUGAGCUAACCGGUACUAAUGAACCGUGAGGCUUAACCUUACA
rnacentral:rRNA from 1 species